rnacentral:antisense_RNA from 1 species
AGCCCAGGGACCAGGAAACCUCUUGCUUGAGUGCUGGAACUCAGGCCAGAAGGCAGGAAGCCCGCCUGACCCCACGUCUCAGGCUGCCAGAGGAGCGUGCGAUGAGGAAGGCUGGACUGUCUUCACAGGACACCAGAGAGAAGCCUCAAGCCACUGCCCCCUGACAAGUCUCAGCUCUCCAGCCUGUCUCCUCACUCCCCUCCCCUCCACAUGGGGGGGUUGGGGUGGGGGCGGGGAAGGUUCGGGGCAGGGGUCAUUUCAGCUACUGGGCACCAGUCUCCUCCUCAUGUUUAUCCUGUUCCCUUUGCUUGAAAGGUUCGUACUCCAGAUCCUUGUAAAACCGCUUCUCACCCUUUGAGUCUCAGCUUAAAUGUCCCCUCCUUGGAGGGGUCUUCCCUGACAAUGAAGCUCCGACCGUCCUCUCCUGUUUUACCCAGUUCAUUUCUUUCUGGCAUUUGUAACUACUUGAAGUUAAAGUGUGUGCCAUGUA